UGGGGCUUGUCAUUUCACCUUGGUCUUCUUUGAAAACAGGAAUUUCAGCUCUGCUCAGCUCCAACGUCUGCAUCUCUCUGAUCUAUUGUUCCCGGGUAGUUGCUAUUUCCAUUUCUCUGUGACUUUCCUAAAGUUUAAAUUUGAUAGAGAGACCCAGCUAACUAGAGGGAGGACUGCCGCACGAGACUAACAUCAGGUGUUACUAUCAUUCGUUUCAACGGCAAGAACAUGAAGUAUCGGAGAGCGUUGGCUCGUCAAAGAAGGCUUGUUUAUGUCUAACCCGACUGUGACAUCGCCUGUGCCCUCGCAGGUUCUGGAACACGCUCCCGUUCUCUGCCACAGCUGCUCAGGAAGGGCAGGCACCUUUCACAUCAGCCUGGAUAGACCCCGAGGUGAAGACUCAGGUGCCCGGGUCUCAAGUUAUGGCCGUCAAUUAACACAGAUCAGCACAUCAGGCUGUGGACUCGAGCCUUGGACACACCUGCCACACUCCCAUGUCACCCUGGGACAAAGUGGGGUGGGCUGGCUGCACACUGCCAAGAGCGAAUCCCGGGAAUUGCUUUGUCCUCGCCUCAGUUGGCCUUCUGCAUCAUGAUUGCACGAAGAACACUGAGAGCAUGCGGGGUUUAAGAAAAGAGAACGGAAGUGCUGGAUUCAUAUCCAUGUGCACAUAAAAGGCAUCUGCUUUCAUCCGAGCAGAAGGUCACAGAACAUUCCUAAUCUGCUUCAAAUCAUUUGAAGUUACAUUCUUAUGCCAAUGGCAGAGUCAAUACAAGAUUUGCUUAAAAUUCCCUGGUCAUGAUCUGCUCUACUUUAAAUCCGCAUUUUUCAAAGCAUGCUCUUUGGAAUAUUUGCUCCGAAGAAUGUUAGGAGUUAACGAAACAUGAAUAACGAUAUCUGGCUGGUAAAAUAUGAGAAGGGGUGGGCUCCACAAAACUUAAAUUGUAGGAUCUCUCGGAGCCCUGAAAUGAAAGUUGGCUCUGUUUAUCUCUAAGGGGCGUUAUGGUGUGCCAUAUUUUCCUAAUUGGAUUUCAACCUCUGUUGGUGAGAAACAUCUCCUAGGACUCGUGUUCUUCUAAAUCCACAUUGGAAAACGGAUUAAAAACCCAGCGAAGAUGAAA